rnacentral:rRNA from 1 species
UGGGGAAUAUUGCACAAUGGGCGGAAGCCUGAUGCAGCGACGCCGCGUGAGGGAUGACGGCCUUCGGGUUGUAAACCUCUUUCAGUAGGGACGAAGCGUAAGUGACGGUACCUGCAGAAGAAGCACCGGCUAACUACGUGCCAGCAGCCGCGGUAAUACGUAGGGUGCGAGCGUUGUCCGGAAUUACUGGGCGUAAAGAGCUCGUAGGCGGUUUGUCACGUCGUCUGUGAAUUCCUAGGGCUUAACCCUGGACGUGCAGGCGAUACGGGCUGACUUGAGUACUACAGGGGAGACUGGAAUUUCUGGUGUAGCGGUGGAAUGCACCGAUAUCAGGAAGAACACCGAUGGCGAAGGCAGGUCUCUGGGUAGUAACUGACGCUGAGGAGCGAAAGCAUGGGUAGCGAACAGG